rnacentral:RNase_P_RNA from 1 species
GCGAGAUGUUGGGUAGUUGCUCCGACGUUACGUCGGAGAGGAAAGUCCGAACAUUCGCUCUGACGCAAGUCAGAGAAGCGUAGCGGGUAACCCCCGUCCACCGCGAGGUGUGAGGUGCGAACAGAGACGAGCCGCUUAAGUGCGGGUGAAACGGCUAAAUCCUUACGUGAAUGCAAGAUCGUGCUCCGACUUCGGUUGGAGAGAAUCGCUUGAGGUUAUUGGUAACAAUAAUCCUAGACAAAUAACUGCCAUCUACCGCAAGGUGGAAACAGAAUUCGGCUUAUAGACAUCUCAAAAAG